rnacentral:rRNA from 1 species
AUUAUAGAGUUACCACAACUCCAAACCCCAUGUGAACAUACCUAUUGUUGCCUCGGCAGGUUGUAGACUGCUGGGAAAGGCCCCUACCCCUUAGCUGGUGAGGCCUACCCGGGAGCUGCGGUCAAGCCUGCCGGUGGCCCGCAAAACUCUGUUUAGCAUUGAAAUUCUGAAUUAUAACUAAAUAAGUUAAAACUUUCAACAACGGAUCUCUUGGUUCUGGCAUCGAUGAAGAACGCAGCGAAAUGCGAUAAGUAAUGUGAAUUGCAGAAUUCAGUGAAUCAUCGAAUCUUUGAACGCACAUUGCGCCCAUUAGUAUUCUAGUGGGCAUGCCUGUUCGAGCGUCAUUUCAACCCUUAAGCCCCUGUUGCUUAGUGUUGGGAGACUACGUCCUCGGCGUAGCUCCUCAAAGUUAGUGGCGGAGUCAGUUCAAACUCUAGGUGUAGUAAAUUUCUUCUCGCCUCUGUAGUUGGGCUGCCCCUCGCCAUAAAACCCCCUAAAUUUAAAAGGUUGACCUCGGAUCAGGUAGGAAUACCCGCUGAACUUAAGCAUAUCAAUAAGCGGAGGAAAAGAAACCAACAGGGAUUGCCCUAGUAACGGCGAGUGAAGCGGCAACAGCUCAAAUUUGAAAUCUGGCCUUCGG